UACAGAGGGUGCAAGCGUUAAUCGGAAUUACUGGGCGUAAAGGGCGCGUAGGCGGGUCAUUAAGUUAGUUGUGAAAUCCCUGGGCUUAACCUAGGAACUGCAACUAAUACUGAAGAUCUAGAGUGCUGUAGAGGGUAGUGGAAUUUCCGGUGUAGCGGUGAAAUGCGUAGAUAUCGGAAGGAACACCAGUGGCGAAGGCGGCUACCUGGACAGACACUGACGCUGAGGCGCGAAAGCGUGGGGAGCAAACAGGAUUAGAUACCCUGGUAGUCCACGCCGUAAACGAUGAGAACUAGAUGUUGGCAGGCAUGACCUGUUAGUAUCGAAGCUAACGCGAUAAGUUCUCCGCCUGGGGAGUACGGCCGCAAGGCUAAA
rnacentral:rRNA from 1 species